AUGCGCUAUCUUGGCCUUCCUCUGUCUGUUAAGCGUCUCAAGAGAAUCCAUUUCCAGCAUCUUGAAGAUAAGAUCGCGGGCAAGCUCCCUUCUUGGCAAGGGAGACAUGUGGCUGCUGCAGGCCGAACGGUCCUUGUCAAGGCUGUCCUAACGGCCAUCGCAAUAUAUCAUCUCACUCCUCUUGACAUACCGGUGGAGGUCCUUCAGAAAAUUGAUAGCAUCCGCCGUGCAUAUCUUUGGGCGGGCACGGACAAGGUUUCUGGAGGGAAAUGCAAGGUAAACUGGGACCUCGCUUGCAAACCAAAGAACAAGGGCGGCUUGGGAGUGCUUAAUCUGAACAAAUUUGCUAGGGCCCUGAGACUUCGAUGGUUAUGGUUUGAGUGGAAAGAUAAGAGCAAGCCAUGGAUUGGCAUGGGACUGCCGUGCACGGAUGACGACUGUCAUUUCUUUGCGGCGGCCACUACAGUCACUGUUGGAAAUGGAAGGAGAGCGAGGUUCUGGAACUCAUCUUGGCUAGGAGGAUUGUGCCCCUGUGACAUAGCUCCCGGUCUCUACAACCUCUCUCGCAAGAAAAACUCCUCGGUUCAGCAAGCUAUGGCCAACAAUCAAUGA
rnacentral:rRNA from 1 species